GCCCUUGUAGCUUAAUUGGAUAAAGCAGGUCUCUUCUAAGGACAAGACUGCAGGUUCGAUUCCUGCCAAGGGCG
rnacentral:tRNA from 1 species